UGCUGGGUUGUGCAUGGCCGUGGGGUACAGAGGUUGGUGGGAUAGUGGAGUCACCCUGGCCUCCGAGAGCCCCGUUCUGGGCAGGCGACACCCAAGGUUGAGAAGAUUCCACAAGCUGCCACAGAGCACUUGGAUAAGAUGGUGGCUCAGUAAGCCCACAGGAGGUGUUUCAUGACGGCUCACAGAAAAGGGAGGAGAGAGAACACUCCAGGCAGGAUGCAGGAUGUGCAAAGACUUGGGCAACAAUUCGUGCGCGAGACAGGAGACCACAAAGAAGCAUUACCAGAAGCCAAGGGCCUGAAAGGGGCCAUGAGCCCUGGAGUUGGGGAGAGACUCCAAGGGAGAUGGGCUGGAGGAUGGGCAGAAUCCAGUACAUGGGGAGGAAGUAUGGCUGCCAGUCACUGUCACACAAAACCCUGUAGGAUUUACAAAGUAGUGCAAAAACUAUACUGAAAACUAUGAGAUAUUCUUGAACCAAAUUUUUAAAAAUCCAAAUACAAUGAAAUACAUGCUCUUGGAUUGGAAGACUUAACACAUUGUUAAGAUGGCAAUACUCCCCAAGUUGACCUACAGAUUCAAUGCAAUCCCUAUUGGUAUCCCAGAUGGUUUCUUUGCAGAAAUUGACAAGCUGAUUGUAAAAUUCAUAUGGAAAUUCAAGGGACCCAGAAUAGCCAAAACAAUCUUGAAAAAGAAAAACAAAGUUGGAAAACUCACUUUCCAAUUUUAAAACUCACUACAAAGCUAUAAUAAUCAAGACGAUAUAGUACUGGCAUAAGGAUAGACAAACAAAUCAAUAGAAUAAAAUUGAGAAUCCAGAAAUAAACCUUCAUAUUUACUGUCAACUGAUUUUUGACAAGUGUAUCAAGAUCC
rnacentral:lncRNA from 1 species